CGCUGUGCGGGGCGGAAGAGAGAAGAAGAGGAGGCGCGCCUUUUGGGGAGGGGGUUGAGAAGGGCCGAGGAUGGCUGCUGGUUGACGGGGAGCAGCGCUGACAGAAAGCAAUGUCCCUGCAAAGCCCGCCGCAGCCUUCCGCGGCGGCCACCCCAGAGCUUCUCCUGCCCGCCGCGGACGGCGGCAAGCUUUCUUUGCUGGGUCGCAAAAUGAAUGAGGACAGUUUGGAUCCCCCGUCGGCGGAGGCGGUGGUGGGAUCGGAGCAGGAAGAGGGGGUGGCGACUGCGGAGGAGGAGGAAGCGAAGGAAGGAUCCAAGAAAGGAGGGAAAGACAGCGAGAAAUCGCCUCCCCGUCUGACUGAAUCUAGGACAGCUUCUGGGACUUUGGAGAUAGGAUCCAAAAGUGAAAUUUCUUCCUUCAGCAACUUCAUUUCAACUAUCAGCCAGAAGAAGGAACAAGCUGAAAGUGAAAGUUCACCUACACAAUUUGUUAUUACAGAUAUAAAAAAUGAAUCAGCAAAGGAGCUCCCAUCCCUGGGCCAUGUUGUUAGGCAAAAGAAGCGCACAUCUGUUGAUAUACUUCCGCCAGAAUUGAAAGUUUCUGUUCCUCCUGAACCUCCUCUUCCUAUUCAAAGAAAAACCAUCAAAGAUUUCCAGGAAGAUGUGGAAAAGGCUAAGUUAUCAGGAGACUGGAAAAUAGUAUAUGAUUUUUAUUCAACUACCUUUGAUUCUUUUCUGGAAGUCAAUACUGCAUUUAAGAAAUAUACUGAGGUUCCUCUUAAUUCUAUUGAAGAUUGUGGAAUUGAUGCAAAAUUUGUCAACAUUGUUUAUGAUACUUUAUUGAAUGCACCUCAAGAUAUCCAGAAAUGUGUCCUAAGAGGAAUAAUUAAUGGUUUAUUACAGGAAUGGAAAGGACCACGGACAAAAGAAGAUCUUAGAGCAUAUUUUAUACUUCUACAGAAUCCUCUGUUUAGUAAUGCAUCAACAUACGUCAUCUAUGCUCAUUUGCUAAGACAGAUAGCUGCCUUAACAGAAGGCGAUCAUCACUUCCUAAUUCACUGGUUUAAAAAGAUGUCUCAGAAAAGAUUCAAGCAGGUGAUAGACAGACUCCUACAGUUUAUUUCUUUACGUCUGUUUCCUGCAAAACCCGAAGAACUGCCUCCUAUGGAGAAAUGUUCAUGGUGGAUACCAUCAGCAACCAAAGUCUUGUCUUUAUUUAAUGCUUCAAAUAGUCUAGUUAAUCCUCCUCUUGUUCCAUAUAUGGAUUUCUAUAAUUCCACACUGGAUCAUAUUGAUCUCAUGGAAGAAUACCAUAACUGGCAAUGUUAUGGAAAUUCUCAGAGAUUUUCCUUCUGUCAAUACCCAUUUAUUAUUUCUAUAGCAGCAAAAAAAGUUAUUAUUCAAAAGGAUUCAGAACAACAAAUGAUAAAUAUUGCACGGCAAAGCCUUGUGGACAAAGUCUCACGAAGGCAGAGACCUGAUAUGAAUAUGCUGUUCCUAAAUGUGAAAGUUCGAAGAAUGCACCUCGUUAGUGAUUCAUUGGAUGAGCUAACAAGGAAGCGGGCAGAUUUGAAAAAGAAAUUGAAAGUUACAUUUGUAGGAGAAGCUGGUCUUGACAUGGGUGGCCUGACAAAAGAAUGGUUUCUGCUUCUAAUUCGACAGAUUUUUCAUCCAGAUUAUGGCAUGUUUACAUAUCACAAGGACUCUCACUGUCAUUGGUUUAGCAGCUUCAACUGUGAUAAUUACUCUGAAUUCCGAUUGGUUGGAGCUCUUAUGGGACUAGCUGUCUAUAACAGUAUCACUCUGGAUAUUCGAUUUCCACCUUGCUGUUACAAAAAACUGCUUAGUCCUCCCAUUGUACCAUCUGAUCAGAAUUCGCCUGUAGGAAUUGGUAGCGUUACUAUUGAUGAUCUAUGUCGGGUUAUGCCGGAGCUAGCUCAUGGACUAAAUGAACUUCUGUCCUAUGAAGGCAAUGUUGAAGAAGACUUUUAUUCAACCUUCCAGGUUUUUCAAGAAGAAUUUGGAUUGAUAAAAUGCUACAAUCUAAAGCCCAGUGGUGAUAAAAUUCCAGUUACAAAUCAAAAUAGAAAAGAGUAUGUGCAGCUGUAUGUAGACUUCCUUCUCAAUAAAUCAAUCUAUAAACAAUUUGCAGCCUUUUAUUAUGGAUUUCACAGUGUCUGCGCUUCUUAUGCAUUAAUGCUGCUUCGUCCUGAAGAGGUUGAAAUUCUAGUUUGUGGAAGUCCUGAAUUGGAUAUGCAUGCUCUCCAGAGGCACACACAAUAUGAUGGGUAUCAGAAAACCGAUCUUACUGUCCGAUAUUUCUGGGAAGUAGUACUUGAAUUUCCCCUUGAGCUUCAAAAGAAGCUCCUGCAUUUUACUACAGGAAGUGACAGAGUACCUGUAGGAGGAAUGGCUGACUUAAAUUUCAAGAUUUCAAAGAGUGAAGCAUCAACAAACUGGUUAACAAUAAAGUCCUACCAGGAAAUAGGAGUGUGUUUCAAGGAAGAAAACAAAGAGCAAGGAGAACAAAGGGGGUAAAGAGAAAGAAAGCUGAAGACUCUUGUCCCAUGUAAGGCUGAAGACUCUUGACUCCAUCUGCUCAAGAACAUGGGCCUCUUGGACAAUACUGCUGAUGUUUUGCUUUUUACGUAUAUUGGCCAAUAUCCCAGUAGGACAAUGAACUUGGAAACACGUGCUGUUGAGAGACCUGCUUGCUCCUUCCAAUGUUGUACAAUCCUGAACCUGAAAACACUGCUGCUGAGCUUCAAGGAGGCAAUCAGUCUCUGCCCAUGACCAUCACUUAGGAGGUCAUCACAGGCAUAAACAUGAUCUCCAACAUUAUUUUUAUUUUAAUUGUAGGCUUUCUUUGACCUAUAGCAGUUUCAUUUUAUCCUGAAAUGUGCAUGCCAGGUAAAAUAUAAUACACUCCCUCAUUCUGUAUUAGGUUACAUGGUGGUGUGUUCCAUGUAUUAACAGAAAAAAAUAUUUAGGUCAUGUUUAUAGUGUAGAUUUGUGAUGUGUCAUUUACAUAAGCUAUUUUUCUCCCCAUUUCAAGGGUUCCUUUGUGUGGGUAAAAUAACGUGUGAAUUAUUUUUGCAUGAAAUAGGAACUCCUGUGAGAUGAACUCAAAAUACAUUGGUCCAAUACUACAUUAUGCUGCUUGAGGAUUUUAAAAAAAGAUUUGGUUUUAAAGGUUUUUGCAAAUAUAAGUGUAUGACAAGUAUGCUUCCCACAGUUUUACUAUUAGUCCCACUGGGGAAACAGCAUUACUUUGUCAGAAGACGAGCAGUAGCCUUCCUCAUGUGUGUGCCUUCCAGAUGUUUUAGACUACAAUUUCCAACAUUCCUGAUCCUUGGCUAUGCUUCACAGAGGCAAUUCAGGGUGGAGGCCAUUAGGAUGUUGACUCAGCUAUAGAGGCACCCAUGAAAUCCAGUCAUUUACAGUGAUCCCUCACCAGGUACCCCUUAUGCAUUUUUGUAUUUCCACAAUGGUUAGGAAGCACAUGGGAGGCAAGGAGUGAGAGAGGUCUGGCUUAGUAAAAUACCUCCUAUGAUCCUGCACUGUCAUGGAGAUGUUUCAGGCAAAUAUCAGUUCCUAAGGAUAAAAGAUGCCAAGACUUAGUUUAAUCUCUUAACUCUGAUAAUUACUUCUUUCUAAAUGAGAUAUGAUUAUUCCCUCCCAUGCCUAAAGAAACAGUUUUCCUAAAAUUAUUGACAUGCAUUCCAUAAAGGUGCCUCAUACUUCAUACAGCAACAGGCAGUCUCUCCUCCAGUAAGAGAGCACAAGUGUUUUGUUACGAGCUAUUUCACUUUUUACUACAGGGUAUUUAU